AUCAAAUAGGUGACCAAAUAAACAACCGUCCAGGGCAUUUGGGUGGAUGGGAUCAUCGUGCCGGAGCCCUUAGCUGGAAGGCCGUUGGCGACAUAGAAGAUCACCCAUAAAAAACUAGCCGUUGGGAGAAUGAUAACGGGAAGGAGGAUUCAAAUUUUGAUUGACACCGGGAAAAAAGCAUUUGAAAUUAAGAUAAAGAUAAACAUUUCAGUUUCAUUUGGUUACAUACAUUCUUUCUUUUUCUGAUUGCCUCUUUCUGUCGAUGUUCUGUUCUGUGACUGUCCCUUUCUGUCAAUAUUCUGUUCUCUGAUUACCCCUUUCUGUCAAUGUUCUAUUCUUUCUCUCUGUUUUGUUCUUUUUUUUUUUGAAGUGCUUGCUUUGUUUUCAUUUUUCAUUUUCUUGUCUGCAGCGUGCACGCUGGUCUGUAUUUUUUUUGGUCUGUCUGUCUAUGUUUUUUGGUGUUACAUUUUUCUAGCAGAGGAGAGGAAAGGCAGAGCAGAGGAGAGGAAAGGCAGAGCAGAGGAAGAGGCAGAGCAACCGAGGGUAAAAUCUUCUUCCAGGCAUGAGAUGCAGGGUCCAGCAAGAAUUCAUAUAAUCGAUGAAGAGAAGAAGAGAUGGAAGGCAAUGAGUUGAUCUUCACCUGCACAGCUAAUCCAUUUGGAUUUGCUAUCAAGCACAGAUCCUAUGGAGAGGUUCUGUUCAACUACUUAUAUGGCAGCUUGGUUUUCAGUAUCUGAUAUGAAAUUGUUGAGGGAAUGGCUGUGUUAUCUGUACCAUGACAGUAAUCCUGUGGUUGUGCAUGGAGAUGUGCACCAAUGUACUAAUGGACAGUCACAUGGAGUCUCAGAUGGCUGAUUUUGGUUAGCCAGAUUCAUGCAGAGGGAAGCCACCAUGUGCUCUAGCGCGUACACUGCACUAGGUUCGCUGGACUUCUACUUCUUCGCAGGUUCAUAUCCAUUGGAUGUGGUUCAGCAGUUCGCUGACCUCAUAGGACAUACAGCUGCAAUGCCCUAUUGGGCUUCUGGUAUGUCUGUAGAUGCCUUGCUCUAGAGUUUUUUAGUGUAGCAUUGUGUUGUUUAUUGGCUUUCAAAUAUUUUACAGAACCUGCAAAUCAUCUACUCGAGUAAGG